rnacentral:lncRNA from 1 species
AAAAAAAAAAGAGAUGUGGUAUUAUUGUCAAUGAAUCAACUUUCCACAAGUCACAGACAUUAACAAUCAUAGGUUACCGUACAACCUUUAACAAUGAGCAAAGCCAAUACCGCAUAGCCAGCCAUAAACGGCCCAUUAAUGACAAAUGUAAACGAGAAAACUAGCGUACAAUUCAAAAAGCGAAAAACAAUUAUGGGAUUAAACAUGUUAGCAGGACCACCCUUAAUCCUGGGACAGUUGUGAAACAGUACAUUAUUAGAAGAUUCUAUAAAAAUCAGACAAAAAGUCACUCGAUGGAUAACGAAAGGCAACAGUAGUAUACCGCUGUUCGAAAUUCAUAAAUCGAUAGAGAAAAAACAAAUCCGAGUUACACACUUAAACUAAGGGAAACGCGUCAAAUAUAAGAGAACGAAGACACAACAGAAUCACGACAUUAGAGUGUAACACACACAGAAACGAAGUAUAAUAUAACAAUGGUCAUUUUCCUGACUUUGUACAGGGCAUUUUAAGAUAACAAUGGUGGUUUGAACCUUGUUUGUGAUAUGCCAAACCUCCCGCUGUAAUGUCAAUGUUAAUUAUAACAUUAAAAUGACAACAUUACAUGACAAGACAACA